GAUGAACGCUGGCGGCGUGCCUAAUACAUGCAAGUCGAGCGAACGGACGAGAAGCUUGCUUCUCUGAUGUUAGCGGCGGACGGGUGAGUAACACGUGGAUAACCUACCUAUAAGACUGGGAUAACUUCGGGAAACCGGAGCUAAUACCGGAUGAUAUUUUGAACCGCAUGGUUCAAAAGUGAAAGACGGUCUUGCUGUCACUUAUAGAUGGAUCCGCGCUGCAUUAGCUAGUUGGUAAGGUAACGGCUUACCAAGGCAACGAUGCAUAGCCGACCUGAGAGGGUGAUCGGCCACACUGGAACUGAGACACGGUCCAGACUCCUACGGGAGGCAGCAGUAGGGAAUCUUCCGCAAAGGGCGAAAGCCUGACGGAGCAACGCCGCGUGAGUGAUGAAGGUCUUCGGAUCGUAAAACUCUGUUAUUAGGGAAGAACAUGUGUGUAAGUAACUGUGCACAUCUUGACGGUACCUAAUCAGAAAGCCACGGCUAACUACGUG
rnacentral:rRNA from 1 species